AUUAUGGAAACCUUUACCAUAUUUCAUUGCAUCUAAGACACAUUUUUUUUUUGUGAUUUAACAUCUCUAAGGUUGGGUUAUGUUUCUUCAUCAUUGUCAGGUUGGAGUUUAAUUAGCAGCACAUUUUUUUUUUUUCUUAAUAUCACAUACAGUAAUGGUGAUCCAUCUCACAAUUGAGAUCAUCUUAGACGUGAUGGAAUAUGGAAUCGUGUGCCUGUUACAAGCCAGGCUGUUGUCUGGGUUCCAGAGACAGUGGAACCCCAGACAGCACCAUCCUCUAGUGGUGUUCACAUCCCACCACAGUGGAGUCAGGACUUUGAAGUCCUCCAUUGGAUCUGCUUGGAAGAUGAGGGAAAUGAGAGAGUAUGGAGAGAGAUUUUGUAAGUCAGGUCUGGAAGUAGUCAUUGUUCAGAAUCCAGCCACGUGGCUACAUGAAAUUGUAAGCUCUAUUGAAGAAAGAAAAAAGAUGAAAUAAGGGUUGUUGAUAGCAACCAUUCCCAGCUGCAUUUCCUAAUUUUGAGACCUGUUCACAUCUGGGACAUUCGAGAAAAGCAAACAAGAUCCUUUCCAGCAAACACCUAAGUGAGAAAUUAUUCCUGGUGGUCAGUGUGGUAGUCAGCACCACACUUUGUGUUGUUGGUCAACAUAGGGAAUUAAUUCAAAAGGCAGUCAUGAGCUCUUCAAGGGCAUUUCUGCACAUAUGGGCAGAUGAGGAAAAAGUCACCGGCAUUUCCUUUGUCCAAAGUCCAUUCUUCCUUGGAGCUGCAAAUGCUUUCUUGAAAAGAUGAGGCCUUUAUCCUUAUGAACACAUUCUGCGGACCGAUUCUCUUUGGCCCAAAGGUUUCCUGUCCCGUAAUGGAAAGUAGGUGUGACAUUCUGUUUGAUAAUCCCAGGCCAGAGAUCUUGGACGCAGCUGUCCCUUAGUGAAGAAUAAAACUGUGGACUGACCCCCACCCAUUUGCGAAGAAAGUACUGGGUCUUCAGCUUUCAUUGUUCAGCCGGUGGUCUUUGUGGACAACACCAGGGGCCCCUCCUGCUGAAGACUGUCUGAACUUCCUGAUUUUCACUCCUGUAUAAACCCCCUCCCCCAUUACUACCUUUGUCUCCUUGGGGAAAAAAAAAUGUUUUUCAC